GGUAAGAUGGCCGAGUGGUUAAGGCGGCAGAUUUAAGCUAGAGCUGAUCCCUGCUGACGUUGUCACCUGGGUUCGAACCCCAGUCUUACCA
rfam:Aspergillus parasiticus ST-1 617, whole genome shotgun sequence.